rnacentral:rRNA from 1 species
ACGCUGGCGGCGUGCCUAAUACAUGCAAGUAGAACGCUGAAGAGAGGAGCUUGCUCUUCUUGGAUGAGUUGCGAACGGGUGAGUAACGCGUAGGUAACCUGCCUUGUAGCGGGGGAUAACUAUUGGAAACGAUAGCUAAUACCGCAUAACAAUGGGUGACACAUGUCAUUUAUUUGAAAGGGGCAAUUGCUCCACUACAAGAUGGACCUGCGUUGUAUUAGCUAGUAGGUGAGGUAACGGCUCACCUAGGCGACGAUACAUAGCCGACCUGAGAGGGUGAUCGGCCACACUGGGACUGAGACACGGCCCAGACUCCUACGGGAGGCAGCAGUAGGGAAUCUUCGGCAAUGGGGGCAACCCUGACCGAGCAACGCCGCGUGAGUGAAGAAGGUUUUCGGAUCGUAAAGCUCUGUUGUAAGUCAAGAACGAGUGUGAGAGUGGAAAGUUCACACUGUGACGGCAGCUUACCAGAAAGGGACGGCUAACUACGUGCCAGCAGCCGCGGUAAUACGUAGGUCCCGAGCGUUGUCCGGAUUUAUUGGGCGUAAAGCGAGCGCAGGCGGUUUGAUAAGUCUGAAGCUAAAGGCUGUGGCUCAACCAUAGUUCGCUUUGGAAACUGUCAAACUUGAGUGCAGAAGGGGAGAGUGGAAUUCCAUGUGUAGCGGUGAAAUGCGUAGAUAUAUGGAGGAACACCGGUGGCGAAAGCGGCUCUCUGGUCUGUAACUGACGCUGAGGCUCGAAAGCGUGGGGAGCGAACAGGAUUAGAUACCCUGGUAGUCCACGCCGUAAACGAUGAGUGCUAGGUGUUGGAUCCUUUCCGGGAUUCAGUGCCGCAGCUAACGCAUUAAGCACUCCGCCUGGGGAGUACGACCGCAAGGUUGAAACUCAAAGGAAUUGACCGGGGGCCCGCACAAGCGG